rnacentral:misc_RNA from 1 species
UUGACUUAUUUAUAUAAUUACUCAGAUAUCACUAAAAUAUAGAGUUUAAAACCUCCGGCAGGCACCUGAAAACAGGCUACAGACCCGCCCUGGGCCUGCCUGCCGAAGCAACUUAGGUAUGUUCACAAAGGGUUGGGAGUUUUGCAACUCUGUAAUGAUCCCUCCGCUGGUUCACCAACGGAGA